AAAUUGAAGAGUUUGAUCAUGGCUCAGAUUGAACGCUGGCGGCAGGCCUAACACAUGCAAGUCGAACGGUAACAGGAAGCAGCUUGCUGCUUUGCUGACGAGUGGCGGACGGGUGAGUAAUGUCUGGGAAACUGCCUGAUGGAGGGGGAUAACUACUGGAAACGGUGGCUAAUACCGCAUAAUGUCGCAAGACCAAAGAGGGGGACCU
rnacentral:rRNA from 4 species